rnacentral:rRNA from 1 species
GACAGAGGUGGCGACCGUUGUUCGGAAUCACUGGGCAUAAAGCGCGUGUAGGCGGCAUCGUAAGUCGGGUGUGAAAUCCCUCGGCCUAACCGAGGAAUUGCGCCCGAAACUACCUUGCUUGAGGACCAGAGGGGAGCCUGGAAUUCCUGGUGGAGCGGUGAAAUGCGUUGAUAUCAGGAGGAACACCGGCGGCGAAGGCGAGGCUCUGGCUGGUUACGUGACGCUGAGACGCGAAAGCUAGGGGAGCAAACGGG